rnacentral:rRNA from 1 species
AAGUGAGCCACGUGUGGCUUUUUGUAUGUACCAUACGAAUAAGGAUCGGCUAACUCCGUGCCAGCAGCCGCGGUAAUACGGAGGAUCCAAGCGUUAUCCGGAUUUAUUGGGUUUAAAGGGAGCGUAGGCGGAUUAUUAAGUCAGUUGUGAAAGUUUGCGGCUCAACCGUAAAAUUGCAGUUGAUACUGGUAGUCUUGAGUGCAGCAGAGGUAGGCGGAAUUCGUGGUGUAGCGGUGAAAUGCUUAGAUAUCACGAAGAACUCCGAUUGCGAAGGCAGCUUACUGGACUGUAACUGACGCUGAUGCUCGAAAGUGUGGGUAUCAAACAGGAUUAGAUACCCUGGUAGUCCACACAGUAAACGAUGAAUACUCGCUGUUUGCGAUAUACAGCAAGCGGCCAAGCGAAAGCAUUAAGUAUUCCACCUGGGGAGUACG